UUUGGAUUGCAGGGAGCC
rnacentral:sRNA from 1 species